GACGAACGCUGGCGGCGUGCCUAAUACAUGCAAGUCGAACGCAGUGGGGACGGGUGAGUAACCCGUGGGUAACCUCCCAUCAGAGGGGAUAACACUUGGAAACAGGUGCUAAACCGAUACUGAUGGAUGGACCCGCGGUGCAUUAGCUAGUUGGUGAGGUAACGGCUCACCAAGUCCACGAUGCAUAGCCGACCUGAGAGGGGGAUGGGCCACAGUGGAACUGAGACACGGCCCAGACUCCUACGGGAGGCAGCAGUGGUGAAUCUGCGGCAAUGGACGAAAGUCUGACCGAGCAACGCCGCGUGAGUGAAGAAGGUUUUCGGAUCGUAAAGCUCUGUUGUUGGAGAUGCGGUAUCUAACCAGGAAGCAACGGCUAACUACGUGCCAGCAGCCGCGGUAAUAC
rnacentral:rRNA from 1 species